UGGUGAUAAUAGCUUUAAAGCUAUAGUGCGUAGUUUCUGUUGCCCCCAUGAGGAAAUCUAAGUAACAACAAAACGGUCGGCGCGUCCACAUUAUACAAGCCCUCC